rnacentral:lncRNA from 1 species
AUGGCUGCUUUCCCUGCCCUGUUCCUCCCAGCUCUUGCCCUGGCAGCUCUCAAUGUCUGCUCUGCCGGCUUUGGGCUUCUUUCUGAAUUAACCGCUGACAUACCAGAAUGGAUCUCUGAUCUAGAGCUGACCACUGGCGCAGACUUAACCACAGACCUAGCGGCAGUCACAGAUGGAGUCUCCACCACGGAGCUGGACCCGACUGGGGACACAGAGUCCACCACAGCUGAGUAUCCGGAGAGCACACAGUCUGUCGAAUCUGCUACUUUCGAGGAGUCAGCCACCUCCAGCCUUGUGGGAGAAGCUACUGAGACCACAGUUUACUACGACACUUUUCAGACAGAGAGCUUUGAGACCUACGAGGACAAUGCUUUAACAUAGAAAAUGAAGGAAAUUCUUCAUUUGCUCUGAUGGUCUCUCUGCUAUCCAUCAAUUUCUAAGAAGAUUCUAAGCUAUAGAGCAAGCCUAGCCUCAACAUAUGGGAGAAGGUGUAAGUGC